GGAUGUGAGGGGCUCUUUGGCUCUGCCAUCCCUUUGACCACCUGGGAUGAUUCGGCUGAUCUGGAUGACAAGGCGGGCAUCCUCUUCCUCUCUCCUGUCCCAAUAUGCAUCAUGUGCAAAUUUGCAAGCAGUCCAUUAAGCCAAAGAAGACAAUUACCUCCAAUGGAGUAGGACUGUUUCCUCAGUCUCAGCUGCUCUUCCCAGCUAGAAUCUUCAAACAAGUUCUCAAAGUGUUACCUCAAGGACUGGUACUUCCCAGGGCCUCAGGACUACAUUUCCUAUGUCAGUUGCAUAAGAUACU
rnacentral:snRNA from 1 species